rnacentral:sRNA from 1 species
AUGAAGCGCCAGGGCGUCAAGAUCGAGCUCUGGGACAAUCUCAAGGACAUUUUCAGGCGAAAGCCGAAAGAAGCCAAAAAGUAAAAUCUGAAAAACCCCGCUUCGGCGGGGUUUU